rnacentral:misc_RNA from 1 species
CCGCAGCCCGGCCUGAGUGGAAAUCCUUUUUUGCAGUGGGGAAAAGCUUUGGCAAAAAGAUUGGGAACGGAGGACGGAUAAAGC